rnacentral:rRNA from 1 species
UACGGGGGGGGCAAGCGUUGUUCGGAAUUACUGGGCGUAAAGGGCUCGUAGGCGGCCAACUAAGUCGGAUGUGAAAUCCCCAGGCUCAACCUGGGAACUGCAUCCGAUACUGGAUGGCUUGAAUUCGGGAGAGGGAUGCAGAAUUCCAGGUGUAGCGGUGAAAUGCGCAGAUAUCAGGAGGAACACCGGUGGCGAAGGCGGAUCUCUGGGCCAUUACUGACGCUGAGGAGCGAAAGCGUGGGGAGCGAACAGG